rnacentral:rRNA from 1 species
CAGCGCCACGAGUGGGGGUCACGAUUAUUGGGCCUAAAGCGUCCGUAGCCGGUUCAGCAAAUCCUUUGUGAAAUCGUUGGGCUCAACCCAACGGCGUGCAGGGGACACUACUGAACUAGGGACCGGGAGGGGUUGGAGGUAUUUAUGAGGGAGCGGUAAAAUGCUAUAAUCUCAGGAGGACCACCUGUGGCGAAGGCGUCCAACCAGAACGGAUCCGACGGUGAGGGACGAAAGCUGGGGGAGCGAUCCGGAUUAGAGACCCCAGUAGUCC